CUGAGACCUUCAGUCAGAUUUCAACUGAGGAAAAUAUACCAAUAUUGUUCAUUCAGGCAAUACUGAUGACAAACAAUUUAAAGGCUCUAAAUAUGGAAAAGCAUCUGGUCACAUGAACAACUCAGAGCA